AUGCUGGGCAGGGCAGAAAGAUCUGGGAGCUGGAUACAUAAGCCACCUGAGAUUCUCAGAAGAUUGGGGCAUCAUCAGAAGAAGACACCAGGACAACAAAGACAGCACUGCCUCGUAAAGGUGAAUCUAACCAGAUCUCAAAAUGUGUAGCUUGGAUUGUGUUGCAAACACAUUCAGAACGGUUUUCAGGCUGUUGAAGGGCAUAUUUGACAAGGCGAAAGGUAAGAGAACUGAUAGAAGAAGUGAUGCCAUGAAAAAACUGGCCACAAAAUGUUUUCAAAUUGCCUAUUGACUUAUGGUGACAUGUGGAUUUUAGAGGCAAAAAAUACUCAACAGUGGUUUCACCAGUUCCUUCAUCUAAAAUAUAGCCAAAAGCACCUGGUAGUAGCUGGAAGUUUCCAACCCAAGUACUGACUAGAACUGACCCUACUUCUAAGAUCAAACAGGAUCUGAUGCCCUUGUGUGAUUCUCAACCUGUGGGUCCCCAGAUGUUUUGGCCUUCAACUCCCAGAAAUCCUAACAGCUAGUAAACUGGCUGGGAUUUCCGGGAGUUGAAGGCCAAAACACCCAUAGGUUGAGAACCACUGCCUUUGACAAACCACAAAGUACUUCUUAAGAAAGCAGAGUCAUUCUCUGGUUGCUUUUAAAUAUCUUUUUUAAAGACUUGCUGUGUUGAACCCUCCCAGUAGGGGUCCUAUUUUGGGGUGUCUCUUGCUCAAGUGUGGCCAAAAAAGGUGAGUAGAUUCUCUCUUACCAAAUCACCACUUUCUCCAACCCAAAUUAUCCACAAAGGAGGACAUUUACAGGGCAUUUGGAAAAGAACUCACUAGUUUCCAUUUAAUUUAAAUGGAAACUAGGGAGUUCUUUUUUAUUUCUAUUAAAAACUGAAUGUGUUCAAGCUUGUUUGAGUCUCCUUAAGCCUUGUUUUAAGAGAGAAAAGUGGGAUAUACAGUAAAGUAUUAUUAUU
rnacentral:lncRNA from 1 species